rnacentral:lncRNA from 1 species
CUGACAACUUACAUGCUAAUAUCCCUUGGUCUCUCUGGUGUUUUGUUUUGGAACAUGAUCCAUUCCCAUGUGCUGGCACUUUCCAGCAGCUCUAUUCAGUGAUCCUGCAGACCUCUUCUACGUGGCUUCUAUUUUUUCUAGCAAAGGGCUGAGGCUUUUGUGGCUUAUUGUGAAAUUUUGUAUGGGCUAAGGUACUUCAUUAAAUAAGUGGGCUAUUUAAACAUUGGGCUUUUGGUUGGGCUAUCCUUUGACCGGGCUAAUUUUGGUUGGGUUAUUUUGGUUGAGUUAUUUUCCCCUUUUUGCUCACCCAUAUAUUUGGGCUUAAGAAAUGGGCUUGGGUCCCGAGGCUCCCAAGCAACCCGGAACCUCCAUUUCUCGUCCCAUCAAUGGGCCUCGUGACGACCUAUUACCAUCCAUACCACAACCCACUCAAGCAAGCCCUGGGCAUUUUGAGUGGCUUGGGCCCACUUAGGCUUGUAGUGUGUUUGGGUGUGAAACAACGAUUUCAUGCUUGGCAUGGCAUGUCGCUUAGCGUGCUUUAAUUUUUUUUUUAUCAUCCUUGAUGUUUAAUUUUGGCAUGGGCUCGUAGAGCUAGCAUGGUGAAUUAGCAUGGCGCAUGAAUUUCAAUUCGCAUGUGGCAAGUUUUCGAGUACCUAUUUUUUAUGCCUUUUCUUAAUAAAAUGGCGUUUCGGGCUGGUAAUUUGUUUGGGCCCAAUCAUGAAUUUUUUGGGUCUCAACAUUAGCCCCCUUAAUUAUAAGGGCCAUGAGCAGGUGCGGUAAUGGGCCGAAUAAUUAAAACCCAACCCAAAAAAUCAGAUUUGUAUUUUGGAGAACUUCUCUUCUUCCCGCGUGCAAAAUGACGGCGCGUCAUGAUUGGUCCCAUCAGUUACUUGCGGUUUUCCAAUGCCAACCGCCUUCUGCUCUCUCCUUCCUCUUUUAUUAUUUCUUUUUUUUUUUCCUUUUCUUUGCCCUUUCUUUCUCUUUUCCCGCACCAGACCCAAAACUCCUCUCCCACUCUUCUCUCUUCGUUCCCUUUCAUCCUUCCACGAACUCAGACCAAGUGAGAGAGUGAAAUCGGGCAAAAAUCACCUGCUUCCAGCCGCUGGGAAGAAGACUCAAGCGAGACUCAGCCCCAUCGUUCCGCCUCCGUUCAAAGGGAGCCCGUUUGCUGCCGCUGGAAGGGUUCUUCUUCGUGUGGGUUUCUCUUCCAAAACCCCGAUCCUUCUUCUCUCCUUGGUACGUUCAAGAUCAUCCCUUGGAAAAUCCCACGGGGUACACUUUUCUCUUGUUUUCUCUUAAAUUUGUUGGAGAAUUUGUUGGGUCCCUUAUACCCAUGGGUGUUGCUUUCUGUCUUGGCAGCCAAGGACCAAACCCUCUUUCACCCAUUUCGUUACUAUUGCAACGGGAGUGCUUACGGAGUGGGCAUUUGCAAAAAGGGGCUUGUGCUAUUCUCUGAGUUCCUUCUUUCCUCGUUUUGUCUCCUUUUUCGGCUGCUGGAAAAAGGGUAUCGACUGGUGGUACGAGUUUCCCCUUCUUCCUCUUUUUCUUGCCCCUAUUUUGUCUUGACUUCUUCUGUGUUUCAUAAAAAAGACUGCUCUUUACAUAAUGUGCCCCUGUUUUCCAUUCUUUAUUCUGUGCGGGUAUUGACUCAUCUGGCAUAACCGAAGAUAGGUGCUGGAAAUUCUGACCUUUCUGCUGCCGGAACCUCGAGUGCCUCAACUCUUUAUUCGGGACUCUAAUAUAUCCCUUUGGUAAACAAAUCUGUCAACUUGGGCAUUUUAGGAUAGAUGUAGACUGAUGCUUGGCCUAGGUUUACUCUUGCUUGCAAAGAGAAAUGAUGACAGAACGCAUGCUUUUAUAUUGCCUGCGGAUUUCAACUAAACGGUCUUGAUAUAUAUCUUGCUUGAAACUUUUGCUUUUGAACUUUUAAAUUGCAUGUUUGCUUGGAUGAGUUCAACUAAACGGUCUUGAUAUAUAUCUUGCAUAUGCUAAUUUUAUCCCGCGUUCUUUCCACCUUCUCGUGUGCAGGUAUUUACCGUCUUGCCAACGGUUGCCAUGUCGUCCGUUGAUCCGUCACCCAUUAUUAGGGAUCACCUUUAUUCCGUGGAGGACAGAUUACAGAGAGGGAGGCCUCCUCCUUUGCUUAAGGGUGCAGAUGAAGACAUAAUUAUUGACGGAGAGCUAGCCCCAGAAGCGACUCCCGUAAUUGAUCCCGCAUCCGUAUCCAGGUGCUGCAUAGAAAAAGGUCUGCUUCCGGCAGUCCCCUUGUCUUUCAGUAUCCAUGCAGCAUCAGCAAGGGUUGGUCAGAAUGGGUUGACCAUGAGUUGAGAAAUCCGUCCACUUGUGACAUUCUACGUCGGGCAGGGGUGCUGGAUGCCAUCUUCAUUUCUAAAGCUUGCGACAUCCAUAUUGAAGCCAAGAUGCUCCGGCAUGUGGUCAGGCGAUGGAGCGUUGAGACACACACCUUUAUUUGCUCAUGGAGAGAGUUCACUCCCACACUUGAGGAUGUAGCCAAUAUAUUUCAUCUCCCCCUUUGCGGCAGCGUAGAUCCUUUCCAUAUUGUGCUAACUCCUGAAGAAGAACUAAAGCUUGGGGUCUUACGGAAAGGUGCACCGACUUCUCCCAGCACUUCUCUGAGAUUCAGCAACUGGAUUCAGUUUUUUGGGGAUGGGAACCGAGACAAGCCAUGUCAUCUUGCUGCCUUCAUAUCAUUAUGGCUUGGGAGAUUCCUCUUUUGUGAUUUCUCCCAAGACUGCUUACAUGAGAGGGUGUUUCCAUUGGCCUUGGCGAUAGCACGGGGCAGCAUGCUCCCCCUAGCCCCCAUGUUUUUAGGGCACUUAUACCGCUUGCUGGACCAGAUCCAAUUUCUUGAGAAAGGGGCGGCAGGAACUAUGGCGUGGAGACCUUUGUGAAUUCCAGCUUUCUGCAAAUCUUCUUAUGGGAGCGCUUCAAAGGGAUAGAGGUAUCCCCACUUCCUUACCCGAAGGCUAAGUCGCUUGUUGGUUCCAGCGAAGGUUCCUAUGUGCCGGAUAGUCUUCCGUUGGUCUGCAGAUGGUCCCGUCGAAUGCAAAGGAAGGGCCAAAAUUUUCUAGAGUUGCUGGAUGAUGUUGAGAAAUUCAACUUUCGCCCUUUCUGUGCCUCAUCAGAGGGAUUUAGCAAUGUACCUCUCUACGCCGAUUCUGAUGCUUUGGUAGAGGCCCUGGCAGUACCGGUGCAAGGUUGUCGACUACGCAGAGAGGCGCUGUUAAGUGCUGCAUGCCUCCCUUUGCCCACACUUGGUGACGACUACUUGGAGAUUUCUGUACAUUAUUCCCCUUAUCAGGUCAGACGGCAGCUUGGAUUUGACCAGGGCGCACCUUCCAGCCCCAGCCAUGGAGAUCCUUCGCUACUGCAUAGAAUUUUUUGGACCGAGGACAGCGUGCCGGGAGAUGGCAGACCUCUUGCCCUUGCUUUGGCUGACCGGCAGCGUGUUGGUGGUCUCUCAAAGGCCUACCAAAGUUAUUGGAAUCGCUGCUUUGCUUCGUUUAGCCGAUUUCAUGCUGCUCAUUGUGACAGGUUGAUUCCUACCGUCAUUUAUCAUGCUCGCCUGGUGUCGGAAGAGAAGGCCAUCUCCCUAAGUGAGAAGCGGAAUCUGCCCUUCAUUUCAAAAAGCGGAGCAAUUGUUGGUGACUUUUCUAGGCUGAAGCAGAAAUUGGAGAGGCCGGUCUCUCAUAGUGCCGGAAGAAGUACCACUCGUGUGAAGCGAAAACGAGAGGAAAGCAGCAGUGUUGAAAGGAAGAAGCGAGCUGUUAGUGAACCUAAAAAGUUCGUUCCCAAAGUAGCAGCAAGUGGCCCCCCUAGCUCAAAAAAGGGUGCCCUCCCGGAGUCUUCACCACGGCAGCAACUUGUAGCUUCCGGCAGCAGCAAACACACAGUGCCAGAAACUUCCUCUCCUAGCAGUAAGUCCUGCCAUUCCUUUGUUCCUUCUUGCUUUAUAUACAUAUAUGUAUAUAAUUUAUCAUCAUUCAUUUUUUUUUUCUCUACUUACAGAGACUUCCCCAAAACAAAGGCAAAGGUAGAGAAGCUCCCGCAAUCUCGAAGCGCCGAAGUAUGCGUAUUCUCCAAUCGAGGUUCGCCAAUACCCGCAAGAACAAGGGUGAAGACUCGGGACCCAAGGUAGUGGUAACAGUUGAUGAUAACGAAAGUGAUGAGGAUGAUAUUGUGGAGCUCGAAACUGCCACCUGCGAGCAAGAGAGCAGCAGCCAAGACGAGGACCUUGGUGAAAAUCAGCACCACAACCGUGGCAAAGGUACAUACACAGGCCCCGCCACCUGUUCGGAAGAGUCAGCUGAUCCAGAUAUUCCUCCAGGAUUUGCUAACGAUUAUGUGCAGCGUGUUGAUGUUGAAUUGGUACUGAAUCAUUACUUUGCUUGUUUUAUUUGGUGUAGAUUAUAAUCUCCAGCAUGUGGCCCUAAAGCAUCGAUGAAGCGGCUGACAUGCUCCUUCGGGCUCCCCUUCCUUCCAUCGAAGAGAACAAAGUUCGGUGCCUCAUAGCCCUUAGGAUAGGGCUGCUGGAGUAAGCUUGAUGGGUAUGGUGGCUGAGGAAGAUACUUCCAAUCCUCCUGACUCCGACUCAGCUCCUUUUCCAGCAUGGCAACGACAUCUUCUUGGGUGACAAAGGAUGGUCCCUUUUGUUCAGACCCCUUUCCGGCAGCAGCAGCAGAUUCCUCUUGCGGGUGUCUCUCAUUUUCUUCGCUUGGCUUAGCAGCACCUUUCAGCCCCUUAAUAGUUUCCGCCAUUUCUCUCUGAGUCUCUCCCAAAGCAUGGAUGGCUGUAACAAGGUCUGCGAGGGUGAAAGCUCCCUCACUUGCACGUUUCUCUCCUCUGGAUGAGGCAUUGUGCCUUGAUUCUGAAUCACCAUGGCUAGGCCCAUCUUGGGAAGUCAUGUUGUUGCUUCUGGUCCUCCUCUUUGGAGGCAUUGAUGAAGAUAGUGGCUUAAUCCCCAGUAGAGUCGCCAAUUUAUGUGGGGGUCUUUGUUCUCCCGGUAGCUGUAAAUGGGCUGGGCUGCCGGAAAAGGGAAAUCACUAAAAUUGCCCCCUGUGCUUGAGUUCGAAAAUUAAGCCCCAAAAGCACUUCGAAAGGGCAGCAAAACCUUAGGAAGUGUUCUGGUUACCUUCACCAAUGAAAAUGAGGGCUGCUUACAGGUGUUUUGUGCUUGCUUUCAGAUAAGAUUUUGGCUUAGCAUGAAGAGCUUGUGGCAUGGGAGCAGGGUCAGCAUGAGUUGAGCACCAAAGAGGAAAAUAAGGCUUCUUAAGGAGAAAUGUGAGUGUUUAAAAUGAGGGACACUAGAUUUGCAGGGUGAUCUUGGCUGAAAGGAGGUAAAAGAUGAACAUCGCUUCUUCCGGCAGCUUGACAGAUUCUGAAAAUAAUCUGUCAAGCAAAGCAGAACGAAGAAGAAGGGUGAAUAAGGUUACUGGAUUUUGCUAGUAAGAGAGGAAGCUUGCUCUCUCAGCCUGGGUUGGUUUUUGCUAGGUGGAGGGGACCUCCUUUUAUAGCUGCGGGAAACUAUCCUUUCCCAAGAAACCCUAAUGGUUUCCUCCCAAUCUUGGCAAGCCUUUCCAUUCUUUUUCCUCUCCUCUCUCGACUUUCCUAUCUGGGUGAGAUUUCCCCUUAUCUAUUUGCACAAAAUCAGGAGUUUUGGAGCUCAAGACCCCUUUUCCCGCGGCUGCUUCAGUAGGAAGCUCCACUCUUGGCUACUUUUCUUCUUCUUUCCCUUCUCCUUCCUGGGCCAGCACUGAUAAGGGAAAACAACUGGGUGUAUAUGCUGGUUUGAAAGGGCACUCCUUUUCCUGACAACUUACAUGCUAAUAUCCCUUGGUCUCUCUGGUGUUUUGUUUUGGAACAUGAUCCAUUCCCAUGUGCUGGCACUUUCCAGCAGCUCUAUUCAGUGAUCCUGGAGACCUCUUCUACGUGGCUUCUAUUUUUUCUAGCAAAGGGCUGAGGCUUUUGUGGCUUAUUGUGAAAUUUUGUAUGGGCUAAGGUACUUCAUUAAAUAAGUGGGCUAUUUAAACAUUGGGCUUUUGGUUGGGCUAUCCUUUGACCGGGCUAAUUUUGGUUGGGUU